rnacentral:rRNA from 1 species
CCUACGGGAGGCAGCAGUCGAGAAGCAUUCACAAUGGGGGAAACCCUGAUGGGGCGACGCCGCGUGGGGGAAUGAAGGUCUGCGGAUUGUAAACUUCUGUUCUGAGUGAAGAAGAAUGACGGUAGCUAAGGAGCAAGCCACGGCUAACGACGUGCCAGCAGCCGCGGUAAUACGGAGGUGGCAAGCGGUGUCCGGAAUUACUGGGUGGAAAGGGAGCGCAGGCGGGAAGCCAAGUCAGCUGUGAAAACUACGGGCGUAACUUGGAGACUGCAGUUGAAACGGGUUUUCUUGAGUGAAGUAGUGGUUGGCGGACUUCCGCGUGUAGCGGUGA